rnacentral:rRNA from 1 species
CCUACGGGUGGCAGCAGUGGGGAAUAUUGCACAAUGGGCGAAAGCCUGAUGCAGCAACGCCGCGUGAGCGAUGAAGGCCUUCGGGUCGUAAAGCUCUGUCCUCAAGGAAGAGAAUGACGGUACGUGAGGAGGAAGCCCCGGCUAACUACGUGCCAGCAGCCGCGGUAAUACGUAGGGGGCUAGCGUUAUCCGGAAGUACUGGGCGUAAAGGGUGCGUAGGUGGUUUCGUAAGUCAGAGGUGAAAGGCUACGGCUCAACCGUAGGAAGCCUUUGAAACGGGGGAACUUGAGUGCAGGAGAGGAGAGUUGAAUUCCUCGUGUAGCGGUGAACUGCGUAGAUAUUAGGAGGACCCCCAGUUGCGAAGGCGGCUCUCUGGACUGUAACUGACACUGCGGCACG